rnacentral:lncRNA from 1 species
ACACACCACAGAGGAGACUCAGUAGUCAAAGCAGCAUUUACCAGCCCAAAUGCAAACCCUUACUUUAGGGUCACAAGCAUUCAUGCAAACGACUUGUGUGUAAACACACCUGACUGUGUAUCCGUGCAGAACACUCAGGGCCAUUUGCAGCAGGGAAAGAAAGAGAGUGAGAAAGGGGAGUUCUUGGUGUCCUGCCCUCCUGAUGAAGAGCAUGGGUUUGUUUGCUGCUGCAUUGAAUACUCACUCCUGACUCUGGAGAAAGAUAGCAGAAAGGGAUUUCUUCUAGCUAAGUUGCUGAGUGUGGAGACAGAAAGGGAAAGAUUAACAUUUCAGAGAGCAACCUCAUUAUCUUCCACACCAUGGCCAUUCACAGUGAUGCCAAGAUUUAAUUCUUUAUCUCACAUGCCUAACAGAGCAACUGAAGUGCUGUCUAGAUGUGUAUCACACAAGAAAUAGACACAGCGAACCUAGAAAGCAGCAAUGUAUCUGCAGACUAGGAGAAGGAUAUUGCUUCUCUGUGGUACAAGUGAACAGAAAGAGUGUGCAUAGGAUUCAUCCCUAUUAUACAUAAGAAAGUCACAAAGAAGUCAAAGGUGAGUCCAAAAUUUGAGACCAAAGGCGAUAAGAUGCUGAAUUCAAGCCAUCUGAAAAUAUGCAUCUAAAGUGCCUGGCUGGAGGUGCAUAAGAAACCUGAGCUCCCAUUACAUUCAAAGGCAAACUAGGCAAUACAGACAACGUAGCCUAGAGAGUAACUCAGUUUGGAGAAAAGGCUGGACACUUCAUGGGCUCCAAAAUUAUGGCAGACACCCUGGUUUACUCACCUGAAUCCACGGCUGGUUGGCUGAAUCACUCCCCCAUCCCCUCUGACAAUUUGGGGAGCUCAGAUUCCUAUCACAUCUGCAGACACUCACAUAAAGAUAUUUAUACUAAUCCCAGGCUGAAUCCCAAUGCAAAUCUGUAGCUGACAAAUCACACAGCAAAGCCAGAGCUGAGUCUCAGAUUUCUGGAGCCUGUGCAAAAAUCCCCUGAAGGUCACAGCUCAGGGAGGCCAGGAGAGCACCAGGAAAGAGCACAGAGGGGACCUUGUGUACCCCUGUCCCAGCACAGAAAGGUUUCCCCUAGGUGUUGUUCCAAGCCUGUAACAGACAGGAGGAGGAGGAAUAACGUGCACAGAGCAAGGGUGCAAAGUUGACAUGCCAUUUACUUAAAAUACAAUGUGAGAGACAAGGGAAUGAUUUAGCUAAUCCAUCACACAUUUGCUUUUGUAAAAGUGGAAGGACACAUCUCUGAAACUGAAAGUCUGAAAUUCUGUGUAUCAGCAUUCAGGGAUAUAAACAACAAGUGCAGGCCAGGGCUCCCUCCAUGUCAGGGGCAGCCUGGCAGGGCCUGGCGGCAAGACCCUUUUCACCACCCCAGCCAGGAGCAGGGCAGAUAGGGGAAGCAGGGCAGC